rnacentral:rRNA from 1 species
AUGGACGUUGCACUGAACGAUCAGCUUCCACGACGAAUCCACGUCGCAGUUCAUAACGGCCGCGCCUCUUGCCACGUCGUCGGCAUGGUUUCUACGUCGGGGACGGUUGCCGUCGUCGUCGUCAUCCUGUCCGUGCUGGUGGCGCCGGCGAGCUGCCGCCGGGCACUAGUGGCUGCCAACAACGGGUCCGGCAGGGAGACCGAGGCCGCAGACCAGUGCGUGCACGGCUGCCUCGGGGAGAUGCUGGCGUGCCAGCAGGCGUCGGCCGGCUGCGCCACCGUGACGGCGGCCACGUCAUCGCCGCUGCAGACGACGAGCCAGCGGCAGCGGAGCGUUCCGUGCGGCUACGGCGGCUGCGAGGACGAGUACCUUGGCUGCAUCGACGUCUGCUAG